rnacentral:rRNA from 1 species
AACGAACGCUGGCGGCAGGCUUAACACAUGCGAGUCGAGCGCCCCGCAAGGGGAGCGGCAGACGGGUGAGUAACGCGUGGGAAUCUACCCCUCUCUACGGAAUAACGCAUGGAAACGUGUGCUAAUACCGUAUACGUUCUUCGGGAGAAAGAUUUAUCGGAGAUGGAUGAGCCCGCGUUGGAUUAGCUAGUUGGUGGGGUAAAGGCCUACCAAGGAGACGAUCCAUAGCUGGUCUGAGAGGAUGACCAGCCAAACUGGGACUGAGACACGGCCCAGACUCCUACGGGAGGCAGCAGUGGGGAAUAUUGGACAAUGGGCGCAAGCCUGAUCCAGCCAUGCCGCGUGAGUGAUGAAGGCCCUAGGGUUGUAAAGCUCUUUCACCGGUGAAGAUAAUGACGGUAACCGGAGAAGAAGCCCCGGCUAACUUCGUGCCAGCAGCCGCCGUAACAC